rnacentral:rRNA from 1 species
UACGUAGGGGGCAAGCGUUGUCCGGAUUUAUUGGGCGUAAAGAGCGUGUAGGCGGCCAUGUAGGUCCGUUGUGAAAACUCGAGGCUCAACCUCGAGACGCCGAUGGAAACCAUGUGGCUAGAGUCCGGAAGAGGAGACUGGAAUUCCUGGUGUAGCGGUGAAAUGCGCAGAUAUCAGGAGGAACACCGGUGGCGAAGGCGGGUCUCUGGGCCGUAACUGACGCUGAGGAGCGAAAGCGUGGGGAGCGAACAGG